rnacentral:rRNA from 1 species
GCUCAACCGAAGAAGUGCAUCGGAAACUGGGAAACUUGAGUGCAGAAGAGGACAGUGGAACUCCAUGUGUAGCGGUGAAAUGCGUAGAUAUAUGGAAGAACACCAGUGGCGAAGGCGGCUGUCUGGUCUGUAACUGACGCUGAGGCUCGAAAGUAUGGGUAGCAAACAGGAUUAGAUACCCUGGUAGUCCAUACCGUAAACGAUGAAUGCUAAGUGUUGGAGGGUUUCCGCCCUUCAGUGCUGCAGCUAACGCAUUAAGCAUUCCGCCUGGGGAGUACGGCCGCGAGGUUGAAACUCAAAAGAAUUGACGGGGGCCCGCACAAGCGGUGGAGCAUGUGGUUUAAUUCGAAGCUACGCGAAGAACCUUACCAGGUCUUGACAUCUUCUGACAGUCUAAGAGAUUAGAGGUUCCCUUCGGGGACAGAAUGACAGGUGGUGCAUGGUUGUCGUCAGCUCGUGUCGUGAGAUGUUGGGUUAAGUCCCGCAACGAGCGCAACCCUUAUUACUAGUUGCCAGCAUUAAGUUGGGCACUCUAGUGAGACUGCCGGUGACAAACCGGAGGAAGGUGGGGACGACGUCAAAUCAUCAUGCCCCUUAUGACCUGGGCUACACACGUGCUACAAUGGAUGGUACAACG